rnacentral:lncRNA from 1 species
AUCUUGAACAUGAGCAACUGUGAAACAUGUGACUGCAAAUCUAUUCAGAAAUCAUAAUUAGAACACCAUUCAUACAACGACCGAAUGGUCCAACCUGAAGAAAACAUCUCCCCAUGCCUGAUGUGCCACGGGGCUCUUUGUAUCCUGCCUGCCCAUGGAGCUCCCCUUACCCUGGCACAUUCUGCCAUCUGCAGCAAUGGUGAGGCCCUUUGGACAGGAGCAGUGGUAGGUUCCUACAGCAUUGUGGCAGGUGUGGGAACAGGGAUUUCGCACAGCACAUUCAUCUUCAUCUGUACAGUAAGGCCCAGAUGAGUUCAACUCAAACCCAGCAGGACACUGGUUGUUACGAUCUCCUUUUGAAAUGGAAGCGUGGAUUUUAAAAGCCAAAGUUUCUUCCAGGGGGUUGUACUCUGUUGUGAUAGAGGAAGCAUGGAGUGUUUCCACCAAAAAAGGCAUUUUUCCUUUAGUGUGAUCAUAGGUAAUAGUGUGGUUCCACAUGUAGGGAACACUAACUCCAUCCACAGCAAAGAGGCGAGUGGAAUAGGCAUACAGCUGCCCGGGGCCGGUCUGAAUGUAGUCUUCUGUGUAAUCCUUCAUGUUAACAUUAGCUAGUGGCUGCAGCUGAAGAACAUGGCCAUUCACAACAACAUCCAGCAGUAAGGCUCCAUCAGAAUCCAACCCCCGGG